rnacentral:rRNA from 1 species
CCUACGGGAGGCAGCAGUGGGGAAUAUUGGACAAUGGGCGCAAGCCUGAUCCAGCAACGCCGCGUGGAGGACGAAGGCCUUCGGGUCGUAAACUCCUGUCAGUUGGGACGAAAAGCCGUCGGUAAAUAGCCGGCGGUCCUGACGGUACCAGCAGAGGAAGCACCGGCUAACUCCGUGCCAGCAGCCGCGGUAAUACGGAGGGUGCGAGCGUUAAUCGGAAUUACUGGGCGUAAAGCGCGCGUAGGCGGCUUGGUCAGUCGGAUGUGAAAGCCCCGGGCUUAACCUGGGAAUUGCAUUCGAUACUGCCAGACUAGAGUAUGGGAGAGGGAAGUGGAAUUUCCGGUGUAGCGGUGAAAUGCGUAGAUAUCGGAAGGAACACCAGUGGCGAAGGCGACUUCCUGGCCCAAUACUGACGCUGAGGUGCGAAAGCGUGGGGAGCGAACAGGAUUAGAUACCCUGGUAGUCCACGCCGUAAACGAUGAGAACUAGAUGUCGGGAGGAUUUGCCUCUCGGUGUCGCAGCUAACGCGUUAAGUUCUCCGCCUGGGGAGUACGCCGGCAACGGUAAAACUCAAAGGAAUUGACGG